rnacentral:lncRNA from 1 species
UAAUACUAUGGGUAUUUUGAUAAAUUGAUUCUCAUUCCAUAAAGAAAACUAUCUUUUUAUAAAAGCAAUUCCACCAAAGCUGAAGAAGAAUCAGAUUUAGGGUUAGGAUUAGGAUUUGUCAACAUUUAGAAUUUUGGAUUUAGAUUCAGGAUUUGGCAACAUUCGGAUUUCGAGUUAGGUUUUGGUAAUUUUCCCUAAAUUUUGAUAUAUUUAUUUGUAGAUAAAAAUAUGAAUUUAUGUUUUAAUUUUAUACUUGAAAAUUAUAUUUUUACUCAAUAAUGAUGAUAGAAUAUUUCCAAAACAUUUAAUUAUAAGGCUAACAUAAUCAAAAAAGGGUAAAAUAAUCAAACGAUGAAUAAAGUUAACAUCGUUAGAAUAACAUAGGAUUUCAAGUAGGAAUGGCAAUCAAUCAGGUGGGGUUGGGCUUGGCCAAAGAAAAAGGCCAACCCGAUUAAUAGCCCUAUCAUUUCUCCUUCAGGUCGGGUCCGACCCAACCCGAUCAUAAAUUUACUUUCAGAAUUUUGCAAAUCUGGGCUGCACCAUUUUGUUACAAUUGCAAUUUAUGACCACAUCUCAAUUUCGUUCAUAUUACUUUUCAAUUUUUGUUCUCUUUCUAGUUAAAAUAUCAUGAAUAUAAAAUAGAAGAAAAUAUUUUUCUAUCUUAAAGUCAAAAUAAUUCACAAUAAAAUAGGCAAAAUAUACAAUACAAUAAUUACAAAAUAAUCCACAAUCCAACAUUGAAAACACACAACAGUAACUAAUUAAUUAUCUUGUAAUAUAUUUAGCAGAAAUUCUAAAUCAAUUUAUAAGCUUAAAUGAAAAGAUUAAUUAAUAUUUAUGAAAUUACCAAAGUUAACGGCAGCGGCUCAACCCCUCUCGGUCCCUCCUUGAGCGUGUGCAUGGCUGACAAGUUUAUGGUCGUUGAUUGAUGUUGAUGUGAUAGGACGAUGAGACAAAGCGUGGCUGGUGGCUGCUUCACAUCGUGCGGCUGAUUGGAGGCUUGGAGCAAGUGAGACAGUACGAGAGAGAACGCGGCUGAUUGAAGCAGGCGAGAAGUGGCAGCAGCACGGCAGAUUCACGUUGCAUGGUUGACGUUGAUGAUGAUGGUGUUGGUUGUCGGCUGAGUUGACUUAGGAUUUGAAAUGAGUUUGGUUGGUACUUUGGUUAAUUGGUUUUGUUCGUGGUGUGUGAUGUGUGCGUGUGUGAUUGUGAUGCGUGCAUGUGUGAUACUAUGAUGUUUGCAUGGAUGCAUCCUGCGUGUAGCGUGUAGUCGUGUGUGUUUUUUUUUUUUUUUGGAAUACAAGGUUGGGUCGGGUCUGCUUGAGCCCGAUCUUGACCCGAAAUUUGAUCAGGUCUAAAAAUUUUGGCCCGAAUCUAACCCAAAACUUGAAUAUUUGGGUCAAAGUCUGAAAAAUUAGGGUAGAGUCAGUCGGGCCAAAAAUAGGGUCGGGUUUAAUUGUCAUCCCUAAUUUCAAGUUACUUUAAAACAUGAGGUGAUUUUUACUUAGUUUCACCUAACAACAAGAGGUAAUACUCAUUUUCCCAGUUAUAAAUGAGUAAAUACUCCUUCAAUUUCUAAAAUUUGAACUAAUUAUGAUUUUAAAUAUUUUGCUACAUUUUUUUUAAUGUUCCCCAUAUUAUCAAAAUAUUUAUUGCUACAUUUUUUAAGCUAUUAAUUUGUCAUAUUUUCCGAGUUUUAUGUUACAUAUAGCACGUUAGGAAAAAGCUGGGUUGUUCGAAGUUGAUGCUCGAACCGGCAAAAUCAAAAUGAUUGUUUGGACACCAAAUCAAGCACCAACUUCGGCCAAACUAACAUUGCUCAUUUGUUACGUUAGUUUUUCCCCUUUUUUUAUGGAAAACAUUUAUAAUAUUACUUUCUUUUAAAAAAUAAACAUUAAGGGAUUAUUUUUUUAAUCUAAAUUUUAAUUAUUUUCAAACUUUUAGAGUUUUUAGGUUACAAUAUCCAAAUGAAUUAAUUAUAUUAUCUCAUCAACCAAUUGAUAAAUGCCACAAUAUUUGAGAUAGUUUUUUUUUUUUUUAUAAAAAGUUUGAAAUAUGUAUCACUACCAUUUAGACAAUCUGAUUAUUUUAUGUUAAAACAAAAUUAGUGAUCAAUAAUGGUCAAGAGACUUAUGUAAAGAAAAUGAUAUAAUUAAUUAAUUAUUUAAAAUUUCUCUAUAUUUUAAAUUUUAAAAUAAUGUAAAUUAUGUUUUGAAAUUGAAUGAAUGUACACGUAUUGUGGAGUACCGAUAUCCCUACCCAAUAGAAUAUUAUUUGGGUCUACCUUUUAAGAGGCUCGUCUCUUGGGAUUUGGGCCUUCAUUCUAAGCCUUCUUAGGGAUAUCAAUUGGGCAUAUUUUGAAUAAUAAAGAUUGCUAGGCUUAUGACAAUGCUCCAUUUGGUAUUCGUUUCAUUUGAACAUGCGCUUCUUUUAUGAACGCACGACAAGAAAAAGAAUACUGUAACGAGUGAUACGAGUCAAUGGAACUAAAUUAUACCCGUAUAAAUGCUUUCAAUUACUCAUUGCAAUUGUUAGAGCAUCUCCAAAAGGCUCUAUAAAUUUUACUCUUUAAAUAUCUAUUUGCUUACCUAUGUGGUAAAUAGAAGAGUGAAAAAAUAUGUUAUUCUCCAAAAGACUCUUCAAAUAUAAAUG